AGUGAACGCUGGCGGUAGGCCUAACACAUGCAAGUCGAACGGCAGCACAGUAAGAGCUUGCUCUUACGGGUGGCGAGUGGCGGACGGGUGAGGAAUACAUCGGAAUCUACUUUUUCGUGGGGGAUAACGUAGGGAAACUUACGCUAAUACCGCAUACGACCUACGGGUGAAAGCAGGGGAUCUUCGGACCUUGCGCGAUUGAAUGAGCCGAUGUCGGAUUAGCUAGUUGGCGGGGUAAAGGCCCACCAAGGCGACGAACCGUAGCUGGUCUGAGAGGAUGAUCAGCCACACUGGAACUGAGACACGGUCCAGACUCCUACGGGAGGCAGCAGUGGGGAAUAUUGGACAAUGGGCGCAAGCCUGAUCCAGCCAUACCGCGUGGGUGAAGAAGGCCUUCGGGUUGUAAAGCCCUUUUGUUGGGAAAGAAAAGCAGCAGGUUAAUACCCCGCUGUUCCGACGGUACCCAAAGAAUAAGCACCGGCUAACUUCGUG
rnacentral:rRNA from 1 species